UUGAGGUUUCAUUCCCUUCUCGGGAAUCCUCUCACACCUGUCAUCCUCCACCGUUGCUUCAGCGGAGCGCGAGCAAUCGCCGCUGACUCUCGAGUUAGCGAGCCUCCGCUGAAGACCUCAACUCUUCGACUCAGCAAUAGUCUGUACAAAUUCAAAUUGAAACA
rnacentral:misc_RNA from 1 species